AGCUUGCUGGGUUGGAUGAGUGGCGAACGGGUGAGUAACACGUGAGUAACCUGCCCCCUUCUUUGGGAUAACGGUCGGAAACGGCUGCUAAUACCGGGUAUUCACUGUCCUUCGCAUGGGGGGUGGUGGAAAGGUUUUUUCUGGUGGGGGAUGGGCUCGCGGCCUAUCAGCUUGUUGGUGGGGUGAUGGCUUACCAAGGCUUUGACGGGUAACCGGCCUGAGAGGGUGACCGGUCACAUUGGGACUGAGAUACGGCCCAGACUCCUACGGGAGGCAGCAGUGGGGAAUAUUGCACAAUGGGCGAAAGCCUGAUGCAGCGACGCCGCGUGAGGGAUGACGGCCUUCGGGUUGUAAACCUCUUUCGCUCAUGGUCAAGCCGCAACAGUGGUUGUGGUGAGGGUAGUGGGUAAAGAAGCACCGGCUAACUACGUGCCAGCAGCCGCGGUAAUACGUAGGGUGCGAGCGUUGUCCGGAAUUAUUGGGCGUAAAGGGCUUGUAGGCGGUUUGUCGCGUCUGCCGUGAAAUCCUCUGGCUUAACUGGGGGCGUGCGGUGGGUACGGGCAGGCUUGAGUGCGGUAGGGGAGACUGGAACUCCUGGUGUAGCGGUGGAAUGCGCAGAUAUCAGGAAGAACACCGGUGGCGAAGGCGGGUCUCUGGGCCGUUACUGACG
rnacentral:rRNA from 1 species